AACGCUGGCGGCGUGCUUCAUACAUGCAAGUCGAACGCGAAGUCACCUUCGGGUGAUGGAAAGUGGCGGACGGGUGAGUAAUGUGUAGAGAAUCUGCCCUUUAGCGGGGGACAACAGUUGGAAACGACUGCUAAUACCCCAUAUGCGCGUAGCUGAGAUGCUAUUCGUGAAAACUCCGGUGCUAAAGGAUGAGUCUGCAUCUGAUUAGCUAGUUGGGGGUGUAAUGGACCACCAAGGCGACGAUCAGUAGCUGGUUUGAGAGGAUGAUCAGCCACAAUGGGACUGAGACACGGCCCAUACUCCUACGGGAGGCAGCAGUAGGGAAUUUUGCGCAAUGGGGGCAACCCUGACGCCAGCAACGCCGCGUGAUUGAAUAAGCCCUUCGGGGUGUAAAGAUCUGUCAGUGGGGACGAAACUUGACGGUACCCACAGAGGAAGCAUCGGCUAACUCCGUGCCAGCCGCUGC
rnacentral:rRNA from 1 species